AGGAUUAACGCUGGCGGCGUGCAUGAAACAUGCAAGUCGAGCGCGGUGUGAUGCGGGGUAACCCAAUUCACAUCUAGCGGCGAACGGGUGAGUAACACGUGAGCAACCUACCUUUGAGUUGGGGAUAGCCCUGGGAAACCAGGAUUAAUACCCGAUGUGGUCACAACAGGACAUCCUGAUGUGAGUAAAGGCGCAAGCCGCUCAAUGACGGGCUCGCGGCCUAUUAGCUUGUUGGUGGGGUAACGGCCUACCAAGGCGAUGAUGGGUAGCUGGUCUGAGAGGACGAUCAGCCACACUGGGACUGAGACACGGCCCAGACUCCUACGGGAGGCAGCAGUUAGGAAUUUUCCGCAAUGGGCGAAAGCCUGACGGAGCAACGCCGCGUGAGUGAUGAAGACCUUAGGGUUGUAAAGCUCUGUCGGAGGGGAAGAACACAAUGACGGUACCCUCCAAGAAAGCCCGGCUAACUACGCGCCAGCAGCCGCGGUAAU
rnacentral:rRNA from 1 species